rnacentral:misc_RNA from 1 species
GAUGAAGAACGUAGCGAAAUGCGAUAAGUAAUGUGAAUUGCAGAAUUCAGUGAAUCAUCGAAUCUUUGAACGCUCAUUGCGCCCCUUGGUAUUCCGAGGGGCAUGCCUGUUCGAGCGUCAUUUCAACCCUCAAGCACAGCUUGGUCUUGGGCUUCGCCGCUAACCCGGCGGGUCUUAAAAUCAGUGGCGGUGCCGUCGGGCCCUGAGCGCAGUAAUCUCUCUCGCUCCAGUGCCCGGUGGUAGCCUGCCAGAACCCCAACUCUCGUGGUUGACCUCGGAUCAGGUAGGGAUACCCGCUGAACUUAAGCAUAUCAAUAAGCGGAGGA